rnacentral:rRNA from 1 species
AUUGAACGCUGGCGGCAUGCCUUACACAUGCAAGUCGAACGGCAGCAUGAUCUAGCUUGCUAGAUUGAUGGCGAGCGGCGAACGGGUGAGUAAUACAUCGGAACGUGCCCUGUAGUGGGGGAUAACUAGUCGAAAGAUUAGCUAAUACCGCAUACGACCUGAGGGUGAAAGUGGGGGACCGCAAGGCCUCAUGCUAUAGGAGCGGCCGAUGUCUGAUUAGCUAGUUGGUGAGGUAAAGGCUCACCAAGGCGACGAUCAGUAGCUGGUCUGAGAGGACGAUCAGCCACACUGGGACUGAGACACGGCCCAGACUCCUACGGGAGGCAGCAGUGGGGAAUUUUGGACAAUGGGCGAAAGCCUGAUCCAGCAAUGCCGCGUGUGUGAAGAAGGCCUUCGGGUUGUAAAGCACUUUUGUCCGGAAAGAAAUGGCUCUGGUUAAUACCUGGGGUCGAUGACGGUACCGGAAGAAUAAGGACCGGCUAACUACGUG